rnacentral:rRNA from 1 species
CCUACGGGAGGCAGCAGUGAGGAAUAUUGGUCAAUGGGCGUAAGCCUGAACCAGCCAAGUCGCGUGAGGGAUGAAGGUUCUAUGGAUCGUAAACCUCUUUUAUAAGGGAAUAAAGUGUGGGACGUGUCCUGUUUUGUAUGUACCUUAUGAAUAAGGAUCGGCUAACUCCGUGCCAGCAGCCGCGGUAAUACGGAGGAUCCGAGCGUUAUCCGGAUUUAUUGGGUUUAAAGGGUGCGUAGGUGGCCUGUUAAGUCAGCUGUGAAAGUUUGUGGCUCAACCAUAGAAUUGCCGUUGAAACUGGGAGCCUUGAGUAUGGUUGAGGCAGGCGGAAUGCGUGGUGUAGCGGUGAAAUGCUUAGAUAUCACGCAGAACCCCGAUUGCGAAGGCAGCCUGCCAAGCCAUGACUGACGCUGAUGCACGAAAGCGUGGGGAUCAAACAGGAUUAGAUACCCCUGUAGUC